rnacentral:rRNA from 1 species
UACGUAGGGUGCAAGCGUUGUCCGGAAUUAUUGGGCGUAAAGAGCUCGUAGGCGGUUCGUCGCGUCGGCUGUGAAAUCCCGAGGCUCAACCUCGGGUCUGCAGUCGAUACGGGCGGACUGGAGUACUGCAGGGGAGACUGGAAUUCCUGGUGUAGCGGUGAAAUGCGCAGAUAUCAGGAGGAACACCGGUGGCGAAGGCGGGUCUCUGGGCAGUAACUGACGCUGAGGAGCGAAAGCGUGGGGAGCGAACAGG